GGGCUCGCUUCAGCAGCACGUAUACUAAAGUUGGAAUGAUACAGAGAAGAUUAGCAUGGCCCCUGAACAAGGAUGACAUGCAAAUUCGUAAAGCAUUCCAUAUUUUU